rnacentral:rRNA from 1 species
GACGGAGGAGGCAAGCGUUAUCCGGAUUUAUUGGGCGUAAAGCGUCCGCAGGUGGCCUAUCAAGUCUGCUGUUAAAGCCCAGGGCUCAACCCUGGAUCAGCAGUGGAAACUGACAAGCUAGAGUGCGGUAGGGGUAGAGGGAAUUCCCGGUGUAGCGGUGAAAUGCGUAGAGAUCGGGAAGAACACCAGUGGCGAAAGCGCUCUACUGGACCGCAACUGACACUGAGGGACGAAAGCUAGGGGAGCGAAUGGGAUUAGAUACCCCAGUAGUCCUAGCCGUAAACGAUGGACACUAGGUGUUGCGCGUAUCGACCCGUGCAGUGCCGGAGCCAACGCGUUAAGUGUCCCGCCUGGGGAGU